AGUAAAAGUCGUAACAAGGUCUCCGUAGGUGAACCUGCGGAGGGAUCAUUACACAAUAUGAAAGCGGGCUGGGACCUUACUUCGGUGAGGGCUCCAGCUUGUCUGAAUUAUUCACCCAUGUCUUUUGCGCACUUCUUGUUUCCUGGGCGGGUUCGCCCGCCACCAGGACCAAACCAUAAACCUUUUUGUAAUUGCAAUCAGCGUCAGUAAACAAUGUAAUUAUUACAACUUUCAACAACGGAUCUCUUGGUUCUGGCAUCGAUGAAGAACGCAGCGAAAUGCGAUACGUAGUGUGAAUUGCAGAAUUCAGUGAAUCAUCGAAUCUUUGAACGCACAUUGCGCCCUUUGGUAUUCCAAAGGGCAUGCCUGUUCGAGCGUCAUUUGUACCCUCAAGCUUUGCUUGGUGUUGGGCGUCUUGUCUCUCACGAGACUCGCCUUAAAAUCAUUGGCAGCCGACCUACUGGUUUCGGAGCGCAGCACAAUUCUUGCACUUUGAAUCAGCCUUGGUUGAGCAUCCAUCAAGACCCUAUUUUUUUUAACUUUUGACCUCGGAUCAGGUAGGGAUACCCGCUGAACUUAAGCAUAUCAAUAAGCGGAGGAAAAGAAACCAACAGGGAUUGCCCCAGUAACG
rnacentral:rRNA from 1 species